UGACACUGUUUCCCAGAAUCAAAAGCGUCUUCACUGUUUCUUGCAGCUCGGAAUGAACAGGAGGAACAAGAGGAGAAGAGAGAGAUCAAGAGGAGGUUAACUCGAAAGCUCAGCCAAAGACCCACGGUGGAAGAACUUAGAGAAAGAAAGAUCCUCAUCCGUUUCAGCGACUACGUGGAGGUGGCUGAUGCUCAGGACUACGACCGCAGGGCCGACAAGCCGUGGACCCGCCUCACCGCCGCCGACAAAGCUGCCAUUCGAAAGGAGCUCAAUGAAUUUAAAAGCACCGAAAUGGAAGUUCAUGAAUUGAGUAGACAUUUAACAAGGUUUCACCGACCUUAACAGUCAAAUUCCUCUUGAGUGCUAUGCUGUCUUCAAAACAUAAAUUUAUAAGAACCAUAAGUGCUGGUAUUUAUUCACUUCCCCAUUAUGAUGUAAAUCUUCUGAACUGCCUUUUUUUAAAAAAGAAGAAGAAGAAAAAAGGAAACGUGAUCAGGAUUCUCUUUGCGAAAAUACGGGGGUCACCGCUCGGCGGUCAGAACCACUGGCACCACGCGGAUACCGAGGACACCGGUGGGUCGGACGGAAGACUCCCUGGCGCUCGGAGCAGGCCCCAGCCUCUCCAGCCAGGCCCAGCAGGCCAACCUCCUUUAGGCUCAUUUAGGCCCCAGCGAACCUCUUCCCCUAAAGUGUGUGUCACCUGGGUCCAAAGAAAGCCGAGGCUGUGGGUUUGGCCUGGAACGGACUGCAAAGCAAAUGGUCGGGUGGGCCUUCUAGCCUUGACCAGACACACUGGCUGUAGGCGUCCGGCUCGGAGGAGGAUGCUGAGAGGGAGCCCUAUCCGCGGUUGCCCCUGUCCUUUCUCCCCCUUCAGCCGUCAUCCAUGCAGUGAACAAAAGGGAAGAUGCUUUUCUCGGGGAGUCUGUGGUUGACUGUUGGUCCCAAGAGUGUGUAGGCUCCAGGUGUGGAAGGCCGGCGCAGAGCCCCUAGCCUGUCCCUGCAGACUGAGCUGAGCUGCCUUCUAGGGAGCUCCGGUUUAGAAGGGGAAAGCAGUCAUCUGCUCAGUUCAAGUGAACUGACCCAGCUGUGUCACAAAAGCCAAAUGUCAUGGGUGAUCUUACGCACACGGCCACUGCCGUGGUAUUCCUAUGGUAUUCGUGCGUCUGAGUGUGAGGACCCUGGUGAGGACAGAAAGGCUGGGGUAAGAAACUGCUUGGCUGGUGUUCUUCGUUUUUCUCUGCGCACCCUGGGGCCGGUGACUGUGUGGCCUGGAAGUUAACAAACGGCCUCUGAGUAUAGGACCCAUGCAUGCAAGCUAGAGCCCAGUCCCGAAAGACUGUCCAGCCACCGAUGGACGGGCACUCCAGAACCACUUGAUGGCCUUCUAGUCUCCUGUCUUUGCACUGAAGAGUUUCUGUGGGGGAGCUUCAGGGUUUGGCACAGGCCAGAAUCGUGCAGACACCAGCCACGCCUGCCCACGCUGUACCUUCCCGCUCCUGUCUGGAGGGACUCCUUCCUCUCCCUCAUGGUGCUGGCAAGCCUGGCUGGAGAGGUCUCGCUCUCUGUCCCAUUCACUUGGGACCACAGGAAGGCAGUGCUCUUUUGACAGAGGGACACCAAGGAUAGGACGUGCAGUGAGAGGGAGGACAGCCCCCAAACCCUAACAACGAUCUUAAUGAGGCCCGUCGCAGCUGCUUCUGUUUUCCUUCCUAACAGAGCUCGGAGGGCCCUCAGCCCCACAGCUCUGCCUGGCCUUCUGGAGCGGUCGCCCAGUUAGCGCCGUCUCUCCAGGCGGUGGCGCGCUCCCCUCCACACGUGCCCGAGAGUUGGAUGCCAGAUUGGCCUAGCACAGAGUGAGCCAGUGCCCAGCCCCGGCCGUGUGGGAAGCGUUACUCUGGGGACGCACACCCAGCGAGGAGCCAUUUCAUUUCUGGCCGGCACUGAGCCAGGAGCCGGGCCUGUUUUGGGGGGAGCUCAGGGCCGUCCUGGAGGUGGUGCCCACUCACCGUUGCCAAGCCGUCGUCCGCUCUCCUCGUCCCCCCCGGAGUGAGCGCGCCACUGCCCAGCCCCAGGAGGGGCACCACCGCUAGAUCCUUUUCUCUGAAUGUUGAGUCUGGAUAGUUAACUGCCGCGGGAGGGUACUGUUCAGGGAAAACGUGGUCGGGCCUUCAGUGUGGCUGUAAACACAGUCUUCCCGAAAGGCUUACUGACGUUUGAAUGUGCAAAUGGUAUGACGAAAGAGGUCGGGCUCUUUCAUUUGACUUCUCUGCGGCAGGCAGGUGUUCCAGGCAGGGUGCCUGCCCGGCCAGGGCUCGAGGCCGAGCUUCCUGUAACUCCCAGCUGGCCUCGUGCGGCUCCCAGGGCCCUGGCGUGAUGGGCAGGCCUUCCCCGGGCCCAGGAGCGAGGCCUAAGGGAGCUCCUUCCCGGGCCUGGACUCCUCCUUCGAAGGCCAGUGGCUUCUCUGCUGGCUUCGGUUCUUGGGCCUCCGAGGCCCUGGGAACGUGACGCCCAAAUCGAUUUCCCUGCAGCCAGCCGGCAACCCAGGGAUCUUGCCUGAAGUGCCCUGUUGUCGCAGUCCACUUUGAGCACGGAGGACAGGGAACACAAUCUCCACUUCAAUUCCUGCAGAGCACCCUUCUUGAGAAGUCAGUUGCAGGAAUUAGGGGUGAACCUUCCAUGCCCCUGAGAUCUCCCCCACCAUCAAGGUGGGCUACUUCAAGCCCAGUGUAGGGGGCUCAGCAACCUCAGUGGACCACAGGAUGGGGGUCUCUGCUGUCUCUUUCCUUCUGUGAAAUCUUGAGGUCUUGAUAAAAAUCUAUCCAAAUUUCUUUCUUUUUUGCUGUAUUCUUAGGACAACUGGAAGAUGUUACAAAGAAAGGUGAGAUGGGCUAGGUGGUUUAAAAUGCAUCCCUUUUCUGAAAAAGCUGCAGUUCUCAAAGGUCUUGUGCAGAUACAUUCCCAAUGGAGCCUUUUGUCAUUUGGAUUAGCGUGAGAGGAAAAAUGUGAAAUUUCUCAAAUCGAACGGUUUCCCUCUCGAAAUCAGACAUUGCCCCACCCUGCCCCCCACCAUCUCUGACGGAAGGGACUGCCAUCGGCCUACUUGCUCUUUCAAAAUUGCUGAUCUAUUCCUCUCCAAAGGCCCUCAAAGCCCUGUAAAACUUUUAAAACUUUAGCCUUUAUGUCAAAUUAGAGAAACCAAACAAUGUGAUGGUAGAUGUGAUAAAAACCUGAGUUUAUUUUUCUCCCGCUUAUGAACGUGUAUUUAUAUUUGCCGAAUGAAUAUCGUGGUGUGAGCUUCGAUGAAUGGGAUGUCAGGCUUUCCCUGUGCACAGCGGUGGGUGGAGGUCACCUUAAAUGACUUUUUCUUCCCAUCUGUCUGUUAAUCCCCAAACCAGUUGCUUUUUCCAGUUGCUUCCCGGGUGUCUGUACAUAGUUUGUCUUUGUAUAGGAGCGCUCUCCUGUGUUCUAAUUUAACAGAUGAUGGCUGUAUGAGGAAGACAAUGUAAAUAGAAUACAAAUUAAACUGGAUCUCUAUGGCCUAGGUUUUGUACAUACAGAAACUGCAUGGUAUUUAAAUUAUUGUUUGUCUCUGAUGAUGUAUGCAGUUUCUUUAAAAACAAACCAAAAAAAAAAAGUCUAA